rnacentral:rRNA from 1 species
UUAAGCGACUAAGCGUACACGGUGGAUGCCCUGGCAGUCAGAGGCGAUGAAGGACGUGCUAAUCUGCGAUAAGCGUCGGUGAGGUGAUAUGAACCGUUAUAACCGGCGAUUUCCGAAUGGGGAAACCCAGUGUGUUUCGACACACUAUCAUUAACUGAAUCCAUAGGUUAAUGAGGCGAACCGGGGGAACUGAAACAUCUAAGUACCCCGAGGAAAAGAAAUCAACCGAGAUUCCCCCAGUAGCGGCGAGCGAACGGGGAGGAGCCCAGAGCCUGAAUCAGUGUGUGUGUUAGUGGAAGCGUCUGGAAAGGCGCGCGAUACAGGGUGACAGCCCCGUACACAAAAAUGCACAUAUUGUGAGCUCGAUGAGUAGGGCGGGACACGUGGUAUCCUGUCUGAAUAUGGGGGGACCAUCCUCCAAGGCUAAAUACUCCUGACUGACCGAUAGUGAACCAGUACCGUGAGGGAAAGGCGAAAAGAACCCCGGCGAGGGGAGUGAAAAAGAACCUGAAACCGUGUACGUACAAGCAGUGGGAGCCUCUUUAUGGGGUGACUGCGUACCUUUUGUAUAAUGGGUCAGCGACUUAUAUUCUGUAGCAAGGUUAACCGAAUAGGGGAGCCGAAGGGAAACCGAGUCUUAACUGGGCGUUAAGUUGCAGGGUAUAGACCCGAAACCCGGUGAUCUAGCCAUGGGCAGGUUGAAGGUUGGGUAACACUAACUGGAGGACCGAACCGACUAAUGUUGAAAAAUUAGCGGAUGACUUGUGGCUGGGGGUGAAAGGCCAAUCAAACCGGGAGAUAGCUGGUUCUCCCCGAAAGCUAUUUAGGUAGCGCCUCGUGAAUUCAUCUCCGGGGGUAGAGCACUGUUUCGGCAAGGGGGUCAUCCCGACUUACCAACCCGAUGCAAACUGCGAAUACCGGAGAAUGUUAUCACGGGAGACACACGGCGGGUGCUAACGUCCGUCGUGAAGAGGGAAACAACCCAGACCGCCAGCUAAGGUCCCAAAGUCAUGGUUAAGUGGGAAACGAUGUGGGAAGGCCCAGACAGCCAGGAUGUUGGCUUAGAAGCAGCCAUCAUUUAAAGAAAGCGUAAUAGCUCACUGGUCGAGUCGGCCUGCGCGGAAGAUGUAACGGGGCUAAACCAUGCACCGAAGCUGCGGCAGCGACACUAUGUGUUGUUGGGUAGGGGAGCGUUCUGUAAGCCUGUGAAGGUGGCCUGUGAGGGUUGCUGGAGGUAUCAGAAGUGCGAAUGCUGACAUAAGUAACGAUAAAGCGGGUGAAAAGCCCGCUCGCCGGAAGACCAAGGGUUCCUGUCCAACGUUAAUCGGGGCAGGGUGAGUCGACCCCUAAGGCGAGGCCGAAAGGCGUAGUCGAUGGGAAACAGGUUAAUAUUCCUGUACUUGGUGUUACUGCGAAGGGGGGACGGAGAAGGCUAUGUUGGCCGGGCGACGGUUGUCCCGGUUUAAGCGUGUAGGCUGGUUUUCCAGGCAAAUCCGGAAAACCAAGGCUGAGGCGUGAUGACGAGGCACUACGGUGCUGAAGCGACAAAUGCCCUGCUUCCAGGAAAAGCCUCUAAGCAUCAGGUAACAUCAAAUCGUACCCCAAACCGACACAGGUGGUCAGGUAGAGAAUACCAAGGCGCUUGAGAGAACUCGGGUGAAGGAACUAGGCAAAAUGGUGCCGUAACUUCGGGAGAAGGCACGCUGAUAUGUAGGUGAAGCGACUUGCUCGUGGAGCUGAAAUCAGUCGAAGAUACCAGCUGGCUGCAACUGUUUAUUAAAAACACAGCACUGUGCAAACACGAAAGUGGACGUAUACGGUGUGACGCCUGCCCGGUGCCGGAAGGUUAAUUGAUGGGGUUAGCGGUAACGCGAAGCUCUUGAUCGAAGCCCCGGUAAACGGCGGCCGUAACUAUAACGGUCCUAAGGUAGCGAAAUUCCUUGUCGGG